ACUAGCAGUAAGAGUUUGAUCAUGGCUCAGGACGAACGCUGGCGGCACGCCUAACACAUGCAAGUCGAACGGCCCCUUCGGGGGCAGUGGCGGACGGGUGAGUAACGCGUGGGAACCUGCCCCUUGGUUCGGGACAACCCGGGAAACCCGGGCUAAUACCGGAUGCGCUCCUGGCUUUGGCUGGGAGGAAAGAUUGAUCGCCGAGGGAUGGGCCCGCGUCGGAUUAGGUUGUUGGUGAGGUAACGGCUCACCAAGCCUACGAUCCGUAGCUGGUCUGAGAGGAUGAUCAGCCACACUGGGACUGAGACACGGCCCAGACUCCUACGGGAGGCAGCAGUGGGGAAUCUUGGACAAUGGACGCAAGUCUGAUCCAGCGAUGCCGCGUGAGCGAUGAAGGCCUUAGGGUUGUAAAGCUCUUUCGCCCGCGACGAUGAUGACGGUAGCGGGAGAAGAAGCCCCGGCUAACUCCGUGCCAGCCGCCGCGGUAAUAC
rnacentral:rRNA from 1 species